rnacentral:rRNA from 1 species
UACGAAGGGUGCAAGCGUUACUCGGAAUUACUGGGCGUAAAGCGUGCGUAGGUGGUUCGUUAAGUCUGUCGUGAAAGCCCCGGGCUCAACCUGGGAAUGGCGAUGGAUACUGGCGGGCUAGAGUGCGGUAGAGGGUGGUGGAAUUCCCGGUGUAGCAGUGAAAUGCGUAGAGAUCGGGAGGAACAUCAGUUGCGAAGGCGGCCACCUUGACCAGCACUGACACUGAGGCACGAAAGCGUGGGGAGCAAACAGG